rnacentral:tRNA from 1 species
AAAAAUUUAGGUUAAAAAGACCAAGAGCCUUCAAAGCCCUAAGUAAGUGUCCCUCACUUAACUUCUG